UAUAUACACACAUAUGGAGAAGUCUGACUAAUACAGAAAUUGAUGACAAAGAAAUCUAGGGAAGAGGGAUGUGGAUGGACCUCUCUGGUCAAAAACUGAAAAGAUAUUUGUAUCCCAUGUGAGUGCUCACCAACAGGUGACCUCCGCAGAGGAGGAUUUUAAUAAUCAAGUGGGUAGGAUUCUAUGGACACCACUAGAAUCUUUCCCCAGCCACCCCAUCACUACCCAAUGGGCCCAUGAACAAAGUGGCCAUGGUGGCAGGGAUGGAGGUUACACAUGAACUCAGCAACAUGGACUUCCAACUCACCAAGGUUGAUGUGGUCACAGCCACUGCUGAGUGCCCAAUUAGCCAGCAGCAGAGACCAACACCGAGCCAUCAAUACAGCACCAUUCCUCUGGGUGAUCAGUCAGCUACCUGAUGGCAGAUUGAUUAUAAUGGACCUCUUCCAUCAAGGAAAAGGCAGAGGUUUGUCCUCACUGGAAUAGACACUUACUCCAGAUAUGGGUUUUCAUGUCUUACAUGGCAAUGCUUCUGCCAAGACUACCAUUCAUGGACUCAUGGAAUGCCUUAUCCACCAUCACGGUAUUCCAUAUAGCAUUGCCUCUGACCAAGGCCUUCACUUUACAGCUAAAAGUGCAGCAGUGGGCUCAUACUCAUGGAAUUGGUCUUACCAUGUUCCCAAUUAUCCUGAAGUAGCUGGAUUGAUAGAUUAAUGGAAUAGCCCUUUGAAGUCACAAUUACACUGCCAACUAGGCGACAAUACUUUGCAGGGCUGGGGCAAAGUUCUUAAGAAGGCUGUGUAUGAUUUGAAUCAGUAUCCAAUGUAUGGCACUAUUUCUCCCAUAGCCAGAAUUCAUGGGUCCAGGAAUCAAGGGGUGGAAGUAGAAGUGGCACCACUCACUAUCACCCUUAGCGAUUUACUAGCAAAAUUGUUGCUUCCUGUUCCUGUGACAUUAUGUUCUGCUGGCCUAGAGGUCUUCAUUCCAGAGGGAGGAAUGCUGCCACCAGGAGACACAACAAUGAUUCAAUUAAACUGGAAGUUAAGAUGCCACCUGGACACUUUGGUCUCCUCCUACCUUUAAGUCAACAGGCUAAGAAGGGAAUUACAGUGUUGGCUGGGGUGACUGACCCAGACUAUCAAGAUGAAAUCAGUUUACUACUCCACAACAGAGGUAAGGAAGAGUACGUAUAGGAUACAGGAGAUCUUAGUAUUACCAUGUCCUGUGAUUAAAGUCAAUGGAAAACUACAGCAGCCCGAUCCAGGAAUGAAGGUUUGGGUCACUCCACCAGAAAAAGCAAAUGAACAAGGAAAAAACAACAACAACAAAAAACUACCUGCCGAGGUGCUUGCUGAAGGCAAGAGUAACACAGAAUGUGUAGUAGAAGAAGGUAGUCAUCAAUACCAGCUAUGACCAUGUGACAAGCUGCAGAAAUGGGGACUGUAAUUGUCAUGAGUAUUCCCUCUUUCUUUUGCGGGCUGGGCACAGUGGCACACACCUGUAAUUCCAGCACUUUGGGAGGCCAAGGUGGGUGGAUCACAAGGUCAAGAGAUCGAGACCAUCCUGGUCAACAUGGUGAAACUCCGUCUCUACUAAACAUGCAAAAAUUAGCUGGGCGUGGUGGUGUGCGCCUGUAGUCCCAGCUACUUGGGAGGCUGAGGCAGGAGAAUUGCUUGAACCCAGGAGGCAGUGAGCCGAGGUCAUGCUACUGCACUCUAGCCUAGUGCCUGGUGAUGGAGUGAGACUGUGUCUCAAACAAAACAAAACAAAACAUGUUUGUGCAUGUAUACAUUUGUACUAAGAAAACAUCUUCAUUUUAUUUCCUUUCUCCUUUAUCACAUGACAUAAGAUUUAUUGACUUUACAUCAGCAUUCAAAUACUGUUAACUUUAUGUAAUAGUGUUUGAGUUGGAGAUUGGUGGGUUUGCUGUUUUAUGAAGGAUAGUCGUAUUCUGUUAGGCAUAAUUAUGACCGUAUUGUCCUUGUUUGAAGAUUACGUAUUAUCUCAGGAGAUGCAUGUGGGUUCAUGUUGAAAAAGUGUGGGCUUGAGAUGGUUAAUACUGAGUAUCAACUUGAUUAGAUUAAAGGAUGCAAAGUAUUGGUCCUGGCUGUGUCUGUGAGGGUGUUGCCGAAGGAGAUUAUCAUUUGGGUCAGUGAGCUGGGAAAGGCAGACCCACCCUUAAUCUGGGUGGGCACAAUCUAAUCAGCAGCCAGCACAGCUAGAACAUAAGCAGGUAGAAAAGUGUAAAAAAGAUACUGGCCUAGCCUCACAGCCUACUUCUUUCUCUUGUGCUAGAUGCUUCCUGCCCUUGAACAUCGGACUCCAAGUUCUUGGUUUUGGAACUCGGACAGGCAUUCCGUUCUCCUCAGCCUGCAGAUGGCCUAUCAUGGCUGAGCUUCUUCCGGGAACAUUCAUGAAACAAGAACUUAAGGUGCAACAGUUACAGGAGAGCUUGCGUUGAUGUCAACAAUGCAAGAUUUGUGCUCCGGGCAAUUGGAGUAGAAUCAGUUUCCUGAGAGCCAAGUUCUCGACUUCCCCUAGAAGGAAAGGGUAUGGAACCGAGCAUAUGGGAGGCUCUCUAGGCCCUUUUACAUUAUUGGAUUUAGCUACGCUCACAUAAUGAAAUUGUUGAGAUUGUUUAAACCUUCUGCAGGGACUUCUGUUAGCAGAAAAGAAACUUGUACUAAAGCCAUAAGAAGAUUGUAUUAUAGAUAUAAUGGAAUCUUUUUAAUCUUUUGCCUGGUUUUCUGCAAAGGACUGACAUUUUUUUCUGGGCAUAAAGCCAAAGGUCUAUUUAAUUUCUACUUAAAAUUUCCCAUGGUCACUAAUACUCUUCCCCCCAGAUGGUCGUUUUAUAAGUUAAUAAAUAAAGACAAAGCCACUAGAAAGGUUGUGAAUCCUUGGAAGCUUUUUUUUUUAAGGUAGCUAUUUUGCACAGUAAAGAGAAUAACAUCUAUAAAAAGCGUGUUCCUGAAUCUUCAGGACAAUGCUUCACUGAUAUCACUCAAACUUGAGUAAAAUAUUGAACUUAUCUUUGUCUUAAGACCACAGCUAUGAUUAAAGAUUUAAUAUAAAAAUGCAGGUUUACUUGCAUCAGAUGAAUUCUCAUGAACAUAUGAAAUUAUCUCACUCCUAUUUUUUACUGCACUUAAGAUUUUUGAGGGGCAGCAUUUUUUUUUCAAUUUAAAAUUGUAUUUAUUUAUUUUAAUUUUUCUAGGAGGUUUUUGCCAACUAGGUGACAGUUUGUUUUUGUUUCUGGAGAGAGAGAGAGAGAGAAUAAAGUUGGGGAGAGAACCCAGAUGUUAGAAACUGGCCCAAUCAGUCAGCUUCUCACAAAGGACCAUCAUGACAGUUUGACUGUGAAAAAAAGGCACCCCGUGAGCGCUACAUGUUCCAGGAAAUGGCUGGCCAUGCAAAAACUUCUGUUCUUAGCAUUCAUUUCCAGAAUGUCCCCAAACUGCUUGUUUGUUCCCUCGCAGCAAACCAAGGGCAGUCAAAUGUACCUGAAGAUCAAUUAGUCAUCCCGGCUUCCAGAAAUCUCACCUUAUAGAAUCCUCGGCAGUCAGAGGCUGUUGCAGCCUAUCCUUUUUUAGGCUGUAAAAAUCACUUUCCUUUCUAACACCCAGGAACCCUGCAGAAACGAAAGUGACAGCAGAUGGGUUCCCUUGCUAUCAGUUUAUGAAUAAACAGCCCUUGUUCAUUUUGUCUCAAACUUAGUUUUGUCUUUGACAGAUGUAACCAUGACUUAAAGCAACACCUGCCGGUAGAAGAAGUAUUUACUUAUUCAACAAAUACCUACUGAGUACCUACUAAGUGCCAGGCGCUACUCUCAGCACUGAGACAUAAGAUACAUGAUUUGUCAUUGGUAACUGACUUCCUGGUGAAUUCAAGAACUCCGUAAAUUGAAGUCAUUUAUUGUUAACAAUGCUUACUGAGAUAAAAACCUGCUUUUUAUAGUUUACAGGGAAGCAGCUUUUCUUUUAUAAGUGGAACCGCAACCAAAUAUUUCAACAUGAUAUCACAGCCUACUUGUGAUAUGGGAGUACUGGGAAGGAAAGAGCAUGGUCGCUUCAGGUGUUAAGGAAGUAGGGUAAGGGAAGUAAGGGGUAGAGAAAGGUGGGUUCCCUGGCUUGGGCUCCACCGCCAUGGAUCUAGGUGAGUCCAAGCAUUCUUGCUUUCCGGCCCAACGGUUAUAUCUUCCAAGCCCACCUAGCCAGCCAUGCCCCCAUCCUGAGCCUAUACAAACCCAGAGACCCUACAGGACAGACACAGUGAAGCCACUAGAUGGCAUGAGGACACAUCCCGGGGGAAAAAAGACACAUGCGGCUGAUCAUGAGAGCCCGCUGGGAGAGAGCCUGCUCAUGGACAGGCACCGACAGGCCAUUGACCAGUGGGACAAGGUGGAGUUUGUCCUCGGGCAAUGGGAGGAGAGCUGGGGCACCUGAGUGGCCCUACUCCAUGGGAAAACUGUCUCUCUUCUGGCUUCCCCAUCGUUGGAGAGCUAAUUCCACUCAAUACAACUUUGUACUCAUUCUCCAAGCCACGUGUGACCGAUUCUUCUGGUACACAGAAGCAAGCAAUCAUGGGAUACAGAAAGCCCUCUGUCCUUGGAAUAAGGUAGAAGGUCUAAUUGAGCUAACACAAGCUGCCUAUAGUCGGAAAACUAAGAGGGCAUCCUGUAACGCACGCCCACUGGAGCUUCAAGAACUGCAAAUAUUCACCCUUAGACACUGCGGUGGGGUGGGGUUGGAGCCCCACAGCCUGCCUGUCUGUAUGAUCCCCUGGAGGUUCAAGCAGCGAGGUACUGAAGACAUGAGCCAAAGUCCUACCACAUGCCCUGCAAGGGGGCAAGGGAACUUUUCUCAUUUCACUUGGGGUAGAAAUAAAGUUAUUAUUGUUGUUGUAGUUGCCAUAAACAUCCCCAUGAUAUUUGUGAUUAGAGAGACAUCAGAUUUUCAAAGAGAAGUGUAAAUUAGUUGACACUCUUUACGGAAGAGUUUUCUCUGGCUGGUGAAAUAUACUAGAACUAUAAUAUAAUGGUACAAUGAUAUAUAUUGACAAUAUUCUUCUUUCACCUACAUUUUGUAUCUAUGUUCAAGAUUAAAUGAAAAUGGAUAUUCUCAAAAAGCUAGCAAAACCAAAAGCAAGAUGCUAUGCCAAAUAUAAACAUAUUUCUGUUUAGCAAAUAGCAGGAGUGUAUAAAACAUUCCAUUUCUCUUUUCACAUAACAGAAUGUUCUAUGCUUACUGUAUUAGUUAACAAAUUCAAGUCUGUUUAUUUUGUUUGAAAUUCCACUUCAUCCAUAAAUUACAGCAUUACACAAUAACACCAGAAGGACAAUAUCACCACUGUUUGCUUUUACAAUCAUCUCAGCCCACAAAAUGCUUCCCAUUGUCAGCUUGCUGUCAUCAAGCCAUUCUUGUUUUCCUCUUUCUGGUGUCUUGUACUAAUAUCAUUCAAAUUAUUUAGAGACUUAACAAUGUUUUUGCUAUCAGCACAAACCCCUAAAGAGCUGGAGCCCCAGCACGAUGAUCAGAUAAUUCUUAACUUGUGACCUUCCUCCACAAGUCAUUAUUUCCCAAGGCCCUGGAGAAGCUGUGUUGCCAUGUGUGCACUACAGGAAUUGGGAGCUUCAUCUGUUGGAGCCAGUUUGUUUCAUUGGACAUUGAGCACUUUUCUGCUUGGCUCUCUGUGUGGGCACAUAGACAAUGAGGCAGUUUAGGGAAGAGGGGUGAUGUGAUAGGUCAUCGAUGAUGAUUCUCAAACUUCUUAAAUAAUUUUUGAUCCCCAUAAAAUUUUGUUUUUAUUACAAAUUAUCUUUAUCCUUUUUUAAUUGCAUAAAAACUUCAGGCACUUGAAAAAAAUUAAAAGAUGAAAAGUAAGCCUGUUUCUAGUAUCUCUUCUUCUUAGUAGAAAUACAUCCUUUUAUUCACUCUGCCACUAUUUAUUACGUGCCUCCUGUGUGUAAGACAUAGUGGUAGUCAUUGGAAAUACAGAAACGAAUGGGACAGACACAUUUCUUGUCCUCAUGGAACUGAGGGCCUAAUGGGAGAUACAGAUGUUAAGUUGUUUCUAGUGUUUUUUUUUUAAAGACUAUGUUCUACAUGUAUAUAUUUAAUAUGUAUUCUCUCCCAUUUAAAAAAAACACAAAUGGUGAUUUACUAUGCAUAUGCUUUUUGUUUUUGCAUUAUUCUUUUAAAAGUAUUUAGAAGAUGCAUUUUCUAUUGUGUAGCAUUCUUUAGCCCCUUCCAAAUAGCACUUUGAUUUUAUUUUUGGGAAUCAUGACUUAAUAAUUUUGCAUACCCCUUGUGGGAUUGUAAAUCAGGUCCCCUGCCCUCAGGUAACCAAGGGUUAGGUAUGCAAGCUAGCUUAUUUCUCCUUAGAGUGAAUCUCAACUGGAUCCAGAGUGAUUCAGGAUCAGAACAAUAUUUGAAAGGCAUUUCCAGAAUCCAGACAAAAUAUUGGAGCAAUAUUUGAUGCCUGGUGGUCUAGGGUAGCCACUUCCUGUUCUGCUACCCAGGCUCCUGUCCAUUCUGUGGAUCAACUCAUAUUGCUCCAAUUCAUUUUGUUUUGCUUGCAUAACCCAGAAUUAAUUUCUGUUGCUUAUAAAUAAAGAUAUAUAACCAAAGACAUGUAGUAUAUCAGAGUAUAGAGACCUACUUUACUCAAUGCCUGCAUGAGUCUUCUUUAUAUAGAUGUAUCACAGUAUAUUUAACCAAUCCCUUGAAAGUGGACAUUUAAGGCUAGUGUUCUGUAAACAAAAGUUCAGAAUAUAUGUCUAUAUACAAUAUGUAUUCUUGCAUAUCCACCUUUGGACAGAUGGGUGAAUGUGUUUUGGGGAAACACAUUUGCAGAAAUGGAACUGCUGAGUCAAAGAAUUAGUAGAUUUUUAAUAACAUCAAACAGUGUUGAAGUCCCCCAUAUGAGAAUAAUAACUACUGGUUGAAGACAUAGCUAAUUAAAAAAUUAAUGACAGCUUAUUUGUAAUAACUUCUCAUCAUUACUGAGUGAAAGGUAAUUCUUGUUGAAUUUAUGAAAAGUAACUAAUACUAAAUUUAGAAAACUCAGAGAAUAUAGAAAAACACAAAGAAAAGUCAAACACCAAGUCACUUAUGAUUCUCUCACUAACAGUGAUAGACUUACAUUUAUUCAUCAUCAUUAUUCUUUAUCAUUCUUUAUCUAGUUUUAUAGUUGUUUUUGGAGAGAAUCAUUAGCAACUGUCAACUCUGUCAUAGCUGGAAGUAGAGGCCAAUAAAACAUAUUUCUUCAACUCCAGUUAGUGUAUUGAUUUUCUCCUUAACUUUUUGAUUUUGAUUACUAAUUUAGUUGCUGGAGGCCAGAGAACACACUCUAUAUGGUUCCAACCUCUUGAAAUUUAUUAGGAGUUACUUCAUGGACUAUUAUCAAUUGUGGUUACAUUUUACAUGUGUCUAUGAAGAAUGUGCCUUCUCUAGUUUAGGACAGUAUUCUAUGUACUUGCUUUGAAUUGGGUUUGCUGUUGUAUUCUUCAAAUCUUUUACAUAAUACUGAUUUUGUUCAGUUGGCCUGAUAGUAGCAGAGAAAUAGAUAUUAAAAUAUCCUACUUUGAUUGGGGAUUUGCCUACUUCUUGUUAUAAUUCUGUUAAUUUUUUAUUCAUAUAUUUUGAGGUUAUAUUGUUAGGUGCAUACAAAUUUAGAAUUGCUACGUUUUCCUGCUGAGUAAAUAUUUGUUAUUU